rnacentral:rRNA from 1 species
UACGUAGGGGGCUAGCGUUGUCCGGAUUUAUUGGGCGUAAAGAGCGUGUAGGCGGCUUGGCAAGUCCGCUGUGAAAACUCGAGGCUCAACCUCGAGACGUCGGUGGAAACUGCCUCGCUAGAGUCCGGAAGAGGAGAGUGGAAUUCCUGGUGUAGCGGUGAAAUGCGCAGAUAUCAGGAAGAACACCCGUGGCUAAGGCGGCUCUCUAGUACGGUACUGACGCUGAGACGCGAAAGCGUGGGGAGCGAACAGG